rnacentral:tRNA from 1 species
GCAAGCCCUAGCUCGGCGUUCGACCUCGCCGGCUUUGGGCGGUGGCGGCAGACGAGUCGGGCUGUACGCCGGGUUCUGUUCCCGGGGUUCCUC